UUAUUUUUUUUUAUGCUUGUGUAAUGUGUAGUACCUACAUAAAAACAUCAUUGCCUAGUGCCUACAAUUAAUACGCACGGAAAAUCAGUAUGAAUACAGGUAUCCUUAUUGGACCAAUACAUACGAUAUAUCCAUUUAAGUGGGUACACGAAUACAUGGUCCGAAAAUCGAAAUUCGCUUACCGUCCGCCGAAUCGAUCGCUAUAUGCACCAUUGACAUAUUAUGUCAAUGAUAUGCACUGAGUGAUCGACGAUCGAAGAAAUGGCUAGAUGACUUGCAAAAUCGUGUUGGUGAGUCUCGGUGAUUUUGCGGGUUCGGUGACCAGCCGAUACCGUUCAAUGCCAUACAUCGCAGUGGAAACGACUACUGCGGGUGACGCGUUUCCGUCUGACGCCUCGAUAUACAGGAACCUGAUCACCGGCCGCCUGCCGAUGAUUGGAUGCAAACCUCGGUUUCGCGGUCGUCGCAACCAAAGCCAAGAUCGAGACGACCGCCGCCCGUAUUGUUGAAGCUGCAGGUUUYGGUCGGUCGAGCUUCUCAAGCCACGAUCUCGCGGAUCCGCCGAGACGCCGUUCUAGCUAUAUAGGUGUCGAGCAUCGCAAUGUUUUGGUCGACAUGAAAGAGUACGUUUCGACRCGAGUAGGUGAAUUUAUAUAACCUCUGCAGGUGCAGGCAGCAGAGCACGCGAGUUUGUCUGUAAUYUGUUGGCGUGACGCGGGACUGCGGGAGAGACCCACCCGAACCAUCGGGAUUAAGCCCAAACGCUGCUUAUAAUGUGGAAACGAACCAAGCGAUUCGUACGACUCUUAUUUUGUUGCGUCUGCAGUGUUUAUAGAAUAAAAGGCCUGUAAUAUACAUUGAAUUUUUCAUUUCGUGCAACGUUUUAAAUUUUUUUUUUGUUGAUGUUCCGCGUCUGUAACCUGCAAAGGCUCGGUCAUGUAAGCGACUUAUGCAAUAAUGGUAUAUAUCGAUAACUUUACCAAUAAGUCACAUCCUGCUUAUUGCAGUGAUGGAAAUCUCAAUUUUCAGCAUGUCAUUWAUAUAAGUCUUUUAUUGCGUACGACUUUACUCGUAUGUAGAGACGAUUUAUUAAACUAUCGCCGGAUCGUAUAAUAUAAUAAUAAAUUAUCUCAGUGGUUUCCAAACUAUUUUAUUCGAGAGCCACAUAAAAUACCAAGAGCUCUCAGCGGCU